rnacentral:miRNA from 1 species
GACACAAUUGUAAUAGAAGACU